AAGCUAGAAAUCAAAGGUGUGAUGUUCAGUGUUGUUAGUGGGUAUGCUCCACAGGUAGGAUGUGAGCUGGAGGAGAAGGAUAAAUUCUGAUUGGACCUUGAUGAAAUGAUGCAGAGCAUCCCUAGAAGUGAGAGAGUUGUCAUUGGUGCACACUUUAAUGGACAUGUUGGUGCAGGAAACAGAGAUGAUGAGGAGGUGAUGGGCAGGUUUGGUAUCCAGGAGAGGAAUGCAGAAGGACAGAUGGUGGUUGAUUUUGCAAAAAGGAUGGAAAUGGCUGUAGUGAAUACUUUCUUUCAGAAGAGGCAGGAACAUAGUGGAGGUAGGAGCACACAGGUAGACACAUCUUGUGUAGACGGUGUAAUUGAAGGAGAUCAGUGACUGCAAAGUAGUGGUAGGUGAAAGUGUAGCCAGACAGCAUAGGAUGGUGGUGUGUAGGAUGACACUUGUGAUGAGGAAGAUGAAGAGGGCAAAGGCAGAGCAGAGGACCAAAUGGUGGAAGCUGAAAAAGGAAGAGUGUUGCAUGACUUUUAGGAAGGAGUUGAGACAGGCUCUGGGUGGUCAGGAGGUGCUUCCAAACGACUGGUCAACUACAGCUAAUCUGAUCAAGGAGACAGGUAGGAGUGUACUUGGUGUGUCAUCUGGAAGGAAAGUAGAUAAGGAGACUUGGUGGUGGAAUGAGGAGGUGAAGGAGUGUGUACGGAGAAAGAGGUUAGCUAAGAAGAAGUGGGACACAGAGAGGACUGAAGAGAGUAGACAGCAGAAGAGAUGACUGUUGUGGACCAGGAAGUAGCAAAGAUUAGUGAGGAUGAAGUGAGGAGGGCAUUGAAGAGGAUGAGGAGUGGAAAGGCACUUGGCCCUGAUGAUAUACCUGUGGAGGUAUGGAAGUGUCUAGGCAGUACAUUUUUUGACUGGGUUGUUCAACAGGACCUUAGAUAGUGAGAAGAUGCCAGAGGAAUGGAGGAUAAGUGUGAUGGUGCCCAUUUUUAAGAACAAGGGAGAUGUGCAGAGUUGUGGCAACUACAGAGGAAUAAAGCUGAUGAGCCAUACAAUGAAGAUAUGGGUAAGAGUAUACUCUUACACAAAAAAAUGCUGGGUUAUUUUCAUAACCCAUCUGCUGGGUAGCUGUGGAUUUUGAGCUGAUUGGGUUGUUUUAACCCAAGGUUGGGUUAAAUAUUUUGACCCAACAGAUUGGGUUGAUUUUCCCGGUCUUUAGAUUUCGGCGGGCUAUCGAUUUUAACAGACUGAGGACAGCUCACAGAUCAGUUUGAGAGAAGAGAGAAGAGAAAACUAUGUAAAUGGUAAGUAAAACUUAAAUUAUUAUCCCACAACAUCUAGUAUUGGUAGCUUAAUGUGGUAACCAAAUAGCUGUGUCUUAGUUAUAACUUAAAAACUUCACCUCACUCUGCGACUUGAGCCGUUUGUUGCUUGCUAGAUUUUUUUUUCCCCCUUCGCUAGCUAGUUAUUUUCACCUGAUAAAAUACUUUCCCUAUAAUACUUGUUUCCGUCACUUGUCACACACACUUAGAUAGACUAUCAAAGUCUAGCAGUGCAGGGAUAUUUCUUUCCGUUAGUUGUGUGUGUAUUCAGUUGUGGUAACGUUAUUGUCAUAACGGGUUGCCAACCGUCCCUUUAAAAAUGGAGUCGUCCCUAUUUAGCAACAAAAACACCGGUCCCGUAUUGAGCUGAAAUAGGACGCACUUUGUCCCGUAUUACUGUGUGAAUCAAAAAAUAGUCAGUAAAAUGUCAAUGGAAAGUGAAUAACAGGGCGCUUUAUAUAAAAAUUUACGGUAAACUUGUUCCCCGGCCCUGUCCUGCUCGGUGACCAAUGAGGUGACAGCAUAUUCACACACGAGUAUGACGAUACAAAAUACGCUCAUCCCAUUGGUCGACCUACUGUUGUCUUGGAGACGUUAACCGAAGACGGGAAAAAAAGCCGCAUUCGUGGGUGACAGUGACACAGACAAAAAGUAUAUUUACAUUUGGGCUCGUUACUUACUGUAUUUACUGCUAACUAUUUCUUGAUGCACGUUGUAGUAGCCACUUUCUUUUUCUCACUGAAAUUUCUCUUGGUAGUGUUCCUCACCAUACCUUAGACCAGAGCUUGCCUGUUGUUAUUAUAAUAAAGCGGAUUGUAAACAAUAUUCAAGCUCUGCACACACACUAAAUCGACUGGCUUUGUAAAAGUCAUUAAUCUUUCUGUUCUUUCCAAAAGAUGGACGAGUUUGUAAAGGAGAAGCUGAAUGAAUGGUCUCUGACUGAAUGGAUCCCCACUUUUGAAGCACAGCAGAUUGAUAGAGAGUGCUUCUUUCUCUUGGAUGGAAACAGCCUGACUUCCCUGAUUCCUGUCCUUGGGCCACGGCUUAAAUUUCAUCGACAACUAAAGAAGUUGCUUGAGGAUUCAAGCCCCACACCCGCACCUUCUCUAUUGCUGGAUCCCAUACCAGCUCCAGAAGGCACACCGUGGCCAGUUGCCUGCAGAACAGCGUAUUUCAGUGGAGCAAGGAGCAAGAUUUAAUAUCUGUGAGAUCCUGAAAAAAACAAUUGUUGGGGAAAGGUGUGGUUGCCAGUCUGCAGAGAAGCAACCAUAUCUCAGUAUCUGAAAGACGGUUAAUGGUCCGCAUUCUGGUGUCCCACCUCAUAGAGCGCUUCGGUGAGAAUGCUACUUCAGCUAUGAAGGCCAAGCUGGCGUCUUCAAUAGUGGAGCAAUUUCCAUGCCUGAGGGACAGUCACGGCACAGGCUAUGAUGCAUGGUUCACCCCAGGAAGGGCCCACAAACCAGCAACGGGGUACCUGGAGGAGCGCCUCCGUAAUGUCCACAAGAGGAAUCGCAAAGGCAGCCGGGUGAAUUCAGCACCAAUAAUGCAAGCGACCCCCAUCCUUUUGCCAGAACCGAUUAUAACUGGUGAGAAGUGUUUGCAGCUGACAUUGUGGCUAAAAAACAACAUUUGGCCACAAGCUACGGUUAGCCAGUACAUGUUGGAGACUGCAGUCCAUAGGGCAAAUUGGAUUCGACAAAAUGGGACAAAAACAAUCCAAAACAUUAUGGUUUCCUCGUCUCAUGGACACUCCAGGCAUGGUGAGCUUACAUCUACACUAUUUGUGUUGCCCUGUCUAAAAUUCACACAGGCACCUACCCAGAGUACAGAUUUCAUAGCUACCUGCGACGAUGUUACAUAUGCCUUACACAUUGUCUUUUUUUUGGGGGGGGGGGGUGUGUUCCUGUCCUUAGAUCGCUCAGGAUUUUGAAGUUAUACAUCCAGAGUGUACUGACAGAAUGUCUACAAAAUGGAUCCCUGAGUUGGCUGAAAAGAUCAUCCGUAUGGCCAGAAAGAGAACACCGGAGACCUUCUUUCAAAUAUCAGUUCACUCUCAGCAGAUCAACAGGGUGACAUAGCGCUUCAGCUGCUGCCAGUGCUGCUCCCAACUGUGACAUACAAAAUUGGACGGAAGGUGUACCGCCCCAGCAAGCUGGAGGUUCGCAGGGCCUUCAUUGACAUCCAGCCGGUGAGUUAAGACAGUGCUUUUCAAAAAAUGUCAUGUCAAGGACCCCUAUAUGUGUAUUUGGCCACAGACCCCCAUCUUACAAGGUUUUGUGGAGACCCCAAGAGAAGAGUUACAGUAUUUUAAAUCUUUUCAAAAUGAUUCCAAAUUGUUCAUAAUUUUUCAAGAUUUGUCAACAUUUUUUUAAAGUCAGCUCGGCCUUCGCAUCACGACAUGAUCUGAGUGUAUAGAUUUCAAAUAAACUAAGAGUAAAGUAGGAUUAAAGUGGUUAAACUGAUUUUGUUGCAAGUAACUACUUUUGCUGGGGACCCCAAGGUGCCCACCUCUAGGAUCCUUGGGGAUUCCUGGACUGCACUUUUGAGAAACACUGCAAUGAGACAGUCAUCGUUAAUACUGUGUUUAGUGGAAUUGACAGGUCAUUUUGGCAUGUACAGAAAUGUUCUUAUUGGACUCAGACUCCAGAUACAGUCGGGUACCGCACUGUGCAUUACCUGUGGAGUUGAACCUAACCUGUUGUACGAACUAAUUGUUGAAUCUUGUUGUUUUUUUUUUCUUCUCUUUUUUCUUUUCAGCCUGGAACAAACAUGGUGCAGUACCUGGCGACUGUAAGCAGUAGCAUAGAAUACCCCUAACUACUCAUGCUAGGGGAGGAGCAUCAGUGUUCCCAGGCCUUCGUGAUCAUCGGAGGGAUAGCCUUGGAGCACCCAUCUCUGUUGGGUGCAGUGGAUGGGUGCUUUAAAGCAUUUUUUGUUUUUGACAUAAACUACCCAAAACCAUGUGCCCAGGUUUGGGAGUUUAUUCAGACAUGCAUCUUUGAGUUACCAGGUCAUGAGUCCAAUGCUGUGAAGUUGAUCAGGUCUCAACUUGCUGCGAUGGAGUCAUCCAACACUCCCAGUUAGUUAAGCUGCAAGUUCAGCUCUCAUCAUCUUCACCCCGUUAAGUGUUGUGUCAAGUUAAGUGUUGGUGUUUAAUUUAUUCAGGCAAAAACCUAAGAACUUUGUUGUUUUUUUUUACUUUUCUUUUUUAAUAUUUAGGUUAUGUUUGACUUGGCAUUGCAGCAAUGUUAAAAAUGUAUUCUGUUUUAAUGUGAACUUGAAAUCAUUACCACAUCAUUAGCUAAUCUGACAUAAAUCUAAUAAUUGUAUUAUUGGUUCAAACUGUUUUUUUCCCAGAUGGAUUUAGUUUUUACCAGCCAAUGUUUCCCACACACGCACACACACAUACACACAAAGUUUUAAUGUUUUAAUGUUUUUAACUUGAAAUGUCAAAUGUCAAUAAAAUAAUGGACAUUAUGUAUUUGUUUCAUUGAAUAAUUUCAUGUUUAAUAACAAUUUCAUUGUAUAAUACUAAGGUUAAUGUUCAUUAAGUAAUGCUGAUUUUGCUCUUAAACCAACAUUUUGGUAACAUUAACCCAACAACAUGACUGCGUUUUAGCCCAUUUAUUAGUUAAUAUAACCCAACAACAUGGUUCUAUUUUAGCCCAUUUAUUGGGUAACAUUAACCUGACAGCAGAGUCAUUUUUAACCCAUUUUUGGGUAAACAGUCUC